CAAUAGCGUAUAUUUAAGUUGCUGCAGUUAAAAAGCUCGUAGUUGGAUUUCGGGUGGGAAUGGCCGGUCCGCCGUUUCGGUGUGCACUUGCUACGCCCACCUUGCUGCCGGGGACGUGCUCUUGAGUUCACGCUCGGGACACGGAGUCGGCGAGGUUACUUUGAGUAAAUUAGAGUGUUCAAAGCAGGCCUACGCUCUGAAUACAUUAGCAUGGAAUAACACGAUAGGACUCUGGCCUAUCUUGUUGGUCUGUAGGACCGGAGUAAUGAUUAAGAGGGACAGUCGGGGGCAUUCGUAUUUCAUUGUCAGGGGUGAAAUUCUUGGAUUUACGAAAGACGAACUACUGCGAAAGCAUUUGCCAAGAAUGUUUUCAUUAA
rnacentral:rRNA from 1 species